AUGAGUAUAAAUGUAGGAUAUUUUUUGUGUUUAAUUAUACCAAUUUUAAGAUUUAAUGCCGAACCAGAAAAUAGCGCUCUUCAACAAUUCAACUCUUUAAAGUUCAGGAUUUUACUCUGGGCAGUAUUUUUUUUUUUCUUUUCACCUAUUCUCCAUUGAUGAAGAAUGUUUCGAUACAGCAAUAUACUCUGCACAACGAGGAUUUAAGUGUUUCCAAACAAUUUGGAUAUUUAUUUAUAAUUCAUUAUUGACAUAUGGAUUUCUUGAGGGUUCUAUUUCUGUCUUUUUUAUGGCAGAUAUUUUACAAUUAAAAAAAAUCUUUUCACUAACUCUUAUAGAGCUUACUUCACUGGUAAUGAUAAUGUCUUUUUUUUUACUUAAACGAACGUAUGAAA